GAUGAACGCUAGCUACAGGCUUAACACAUGCAAGUCGAGGGGAAACGACAUCGAAAGCUUGCUUCCGAUGGGCGUCGACCGGCGCACGGGUGAGUAACGCGUAUCCAACCUGCCCACCACUUGGGGAUAACCUUGCGAAAGUAAGACUAAUACCCAAUGAUAUCUCUAGAAGACAUCUGAAAGAGAUUAAAGAUUUAUCGGUGAUGGAUGGGGAUGCGUCUGAUUAGCUUGUUGGCGGGGUAACGGCCCACCAAGGCGACGAUCAGUAGGGGUUCUGAGAGGAAGGUCCCCCACAUUGGAACGGAGACACGGUCCAAACUCCUACGGGAGGCAGCAGUGAGGAAUAUUGGUCAAUGGACGAGAGUCUGAACCCGCCAAGUAGCGUGCAGGAAGACGGCCCUAUGGGUUGUAAACUGCUUUUAUAAGGGAAUAAAGUGAGUCUCGUGAGACUCUUUGCAUGUACCUUAUGAAUAAGGACCGGCUAAUUCCGUGCCAGCCGCCGCAGUAA
rnacentral:rRNA from 1 species